rnacentral:rRNA from 1 species
GGAGCACGCCGCGUGAGUGAUGAAGGUUUUCGGAUCGUAAAGCUCUGUUGUUAGGGAAGAACAAGUGCCGUUCAAAUAGGGCGGCACCUUGACGGUACCUAACCAGAAAGCCACGGCUAACUACGUGCCAGCAGCCGCGGUAAUACGUAGGUGGCAAGCGUUGUCCGGAAUUAUUGGGCGUAAAGGGCUCGCAGGCGGUUUCUUAAGUCUGAUGUGAAAGCCCCCGGCUCAACCGGGGAGGGUCAUUGGAAACUGGGGAACUUGAGUGCAGAAGAGGAGAGUGGAAUUCCACGUGUAGCGGUGAAAUGCGUAAAGAUGUGGAGGAACACCAGUGGCGAAGGCGACUCUCUGGUCUGUAACUGACGCUGAGGAGCGAAAGCGUGGGGAGCGAACAGGAUUAGAUACCCUGGUAGUCCACGCCGUAAACGAUGAGUGCUAAGUGUUAGGGGGUUUCCGCCCCUUAGUGCUGCAGCUAACGCAUUAAGCACUCCGCCCUGGGGAGAUUCC